rnacentral:lncRNA from 1 species
AAAAACAGAAAGGCCAUUUGUAUUACAGUCUCAUAUGAUCUAAGACAACAAUGCAGUCUCAGAAAAGGAGAAGUGGGAUCCCUUUCUGCAGGAUAUGACUAGGAUAAUUAGUUUAGCCCAAGACCCCUGAGAUACUAGGUCCUGCUGUGAAAAACAAAGGGCUGUCAAAACAUUCUAAACCAAGACCAAGGUGUCUAAUAUGGAAACUAAAAAUGUUUCAUUAUUAUACACUAGAAUUUUCGGUACAAUAGAUAGGAGCAGCAACUGAUUUAAUCUGUAUUUUAUGAUGAACACUAAGGUCUCAUUAUUUUAUCCUUAAGUAUGAGAUAAAGCUAGUUCUUCUUUAUUUCCCAGUAAUCAUUCCCUCCUUCUCAAGAAGGCAAAGUACAUGGUGAACUCUUCCUUCAAAUGAAAUGCCUGCUAUAUUUUGUUUCGCCUCUCUGUGGGUACCACAACGAGCAGGCUCCAGAGGUACGUGGAAAAACUUGAGUUUUACAACAUAAAUCUGGGCUGAUUAUCCAGAGUCACUAUAUUCAUUAAUAUAUUCUAUUCAUGUUAUACUCAGAAGGUUAAUUGAAAUCAGUCUGAAUAGUAUCAGGAAAUAUGAUGAGAUAAGAGUAGGUAACAAAUAGGUUAUGCAGCCUACGUUCCAUCACAUUCAUCAUAUAACUGAACAUACAAUUCAAUGGUUUUAUUAAACAUCCUCAUCUGUGUAGUCACAAGAGUCAGGUAAGCAGGUUCUUUCUCAACAACAGGUGAUUUCUCGUGUGUUUAGGCCAAUCAUGGAUGUCCUACUCCACUCUGAGUGACCAAUGUAAGUGUGAGAAUAUGAUACCACUUGAAGCCAAUGGGGGAAACCUGCAGAGGUCUGCUACAGAUCAUCUUACAACUAGAGAAGGCUUCCCAGGUCAACAUCCUUUUGUGAAGAAACUGCAUUUGCUUGGCUUGGAUUUGUAGCACAGUGGACACUCAGAUGAAUUCAAUUCAGCUCUAGUCCCUUGUCAAGACAUUCCUUUGUUAUAUUUAUUGUUUCACUUGGAAAUCAUUUUAGUGUAUGUAGUGUUUUGUUGGAUGAAUGUUGCUUCUAACCCUCCAACUAAACACCAGCAAAAAUAAAUAAAAUACCAUUUAGGUCCG